rnacentral:rRNA from 1 species
UCCGGUUGAUCCCGCCAGACCCUACUGCUAUCGGGAUGGGACUAAGACAUGCUAGUCGUGCGCCUCCAAGCCAUGGUGGAGGCGCGGCGCACAGCUCAGUAACACGUGGUUAACCUGCCCUUGGGACGGAAACACCCCCGGGAAACUGGGGCUAAUUUCCGAUAGGUGAAGGCUCCUGGAAUGGAUCUUCGCCUAAAGGGCGCUUAGGCCAUGCUUCUAGGCGCUGCCCAAGGAUGGGGCCGCGGCCGAUCAGGUUGUUGGUGAGGUAAUGGCUCACCAAGCCUUUAACCGGUUCGGGCCGUGGGAGCGGGAGCCCGGAGAUGGGCACUGAGACAAGGGCCCAGGCCCUACGGGGCGCAGCAGUCGCGAAAACUCCGCAAUACGCGAAGGCGUGACGGGGCUAUCCCGAGUGCCGUCCGCUGAGGAUGGCUUUUCCCCAGUGUAGAUAGCUGGGGGAAUAAGGAGAGGGCAAGUCUGGUGUCAGCCGCCGCGGUAAUACCAGCUCUCCGAGUGGUGGGGACGUUUAUUGGGCCUGAAGCAUCCGUAGCCAGCUGAGCAAGUCCCCAGUUAAAUCCAGCGAUUUAAUCGUUGGACUGCUGGGGAUACUGUCCGGCUAGGGGGUGGGAGAGGCCGACGGUAUUCCCGGGGUAGGGGUGAAAUCCUAUAAUCCCGGGAGGACCACCAGUGGCGAAGGCUGUUGGCUAGAACAUGCCCGACGGUGAGGGAUGAAAGCUGGGGGAGCGAACCGGAUUAGAUACCCGGGUAGUCCCAGCUGUAAACGAUGCAGGCUAGGUGUUAGGGCGGCCACGUGCCGCUCUAGUGCCGCAGGGAAGCUGUUAAGCCUGCCGCCUGGGGAGUACGGCCGCAAGGCUGAAACUUAAAGGAAUUGGCGGGGGAGCGCCACAAGGGGUGAAGCUCGCGGUUUAAAUGGAGUCAACGCCGG